GAUGACCUAGGGUGUUGUUCCUUGGCAUUCACCUUUACUGUUCAUUUAGUGUGUGUCUGUGCGUGCGCGCGCGCGUGUGUGUGUGUGUGUGUGUGUGUGUGUGUGUGUGUGUGUGUAUGUGUGUGUGCGUGCGCACCCACAACACAUGUCAUGAAAGAACUCAGCACAGGAGACCUUCACUAUGAGGCUUGUGUGACUCUGCAUGCUGGUACAAAACCCUAUCUGCAAGGCAGGCUCGUUCCCUGGUUCCCUCCACCACCCCUGCCCACAGGACAACAGCAUUGGGUUCUCAACUUCGCACACGACAAUGGAGACCGUCGUUUUAUGGAACAAGUAGCAUGCACAACCCUGUGCAGGUGCUUCUGGAAAUACUCAGCCCACGAGUGCUACCCUACAGUCCUGUUCAAGCUCUUCCCCAACAUAAGAAUGCACCAUCGUGCCAUCUUCACAGCUGACAUGCAAGUCCUGGCUCUUCCGGUUGACUGGUGAGAAGGGUUAGGUUCCAGACCCUCACCUGGGAAGUACCUCUCCUUCUUGGUUGGCUUACCCAACUGCAAACCCAGACAGGAUGAGACAGUGUUUGCCUCGGUCUUGGGUAUGUUCUAGUACUGGACUUAACAACUAUGGGGGAGGGGAUGGGGGAUAAGAAGACUGAACUUGAAAACAAGCUGGUCAAGUUUCUCGUGGGGAUACCAUCAUAUUCUCAAAACCAGUGUAAGGAGACCCAGGGGAAUACAUGAGACAUUAGUAGCUUGUGGCGGGUGUGGCAAGGUUGGCCUAAGAGUGCAAUCGUGGCAUGCAUGCAAUGGGGCAACCAACUGCUUCCCAAUUGGGCUUAAGGCCUACUCAACAGGAAACACGUGUCUGGUAUAAAUCCAGCCAAGAACAUAUGGCUAAGGACGACACAGGCCCCAGAGGAGAAUUUACUACUGUUAUUCUGCUAAAUGAAUGUGGUAUCAAUUUGCCCUCUAAACUGCACUGUGUGUGUCUCUGCACAGACAAGUACAGCUCUCAGACCUCAUUGGAGAAAUUUCUUAGUGCUAUGGAUGGUGGUUAGCAAAUACACUCACCACUGAUCAAAGUGCAGAGAAUCAGUGUCUGAGGAGAGCUCAGCCAUAAAUGGGGUGUCUUUGCUAUGCUCCCUCCCAAGCCCAGGGAUCACUGUGAGAGAGACAGGGAGGAAAGAAAGACUGUAAGAGCCCGAGGUCAGGGAGGAAGAGAGAUGACAGCGUCUUCUGGGAAUAUAUAGGAUGGCCUCCUACAUGAACUCAUGGCACUGUGGUUGCCUGCAUAAGACCUGCACAUGACCGAGCCAGUCGGCAUUCUAGUGUGGGAUGGGGAAGGGCUCAUGGUAGAACUGCAGCAGCUUCUGGGGGAAGCAGAGUCAGUUGUGACCGACUCCAGUGAUGGCCACAUACUUAUGAGUACCUGGUCAGCACAGAUUAGACUUGAUGAGUGAUAAAUAAAAAGAAAUGGAUUGGGCCAGAGAGAUGCUCAGUGGUUAAGACCACCAGCUGCUCUUGCAGGAGACCCGGGUUCAGUCCCCAGCAUCGCACUUUGGUUCACAACCAUCUGUGACUCCAGUUCUCCAUCAGCUAACAGCCUCUUCUGGCCUCUGCAGACACCAGGCACGCACAUGGGUGUGUAGACAUACAUGUCAGAAAAACACUCACAUAUGUCACAUAAAAUAAAUAUAUUUUUUAAAGGAGGAUAGGAAGUUGGCAGGUCAGGUUGGUGGGAGGAGAUCUGGAGGAGCUCGGAUUGAAUAUGAUCAAAACAGAUUGUGUGAAAGCAUGAAGUAAAUAAUUAACUGUAGGUUUUAAGAAGAGUAAAUAGUUGAGGUUGUGUUCCUAGCUCCACUACUGCCUGGGGAUGAGGUAACUCACAAAUCUUCUGUGUCUUCUGGUCCUGACACUCCAACAUAGAGCAUGACAUCUGCUAUGCGUCCCACUUCAUGGGCCUAUCAGAGCUGCCUGUGGGGCAAAGGUGCGUCACGCACGUGAAGUCACUGGUACCGUACCAGCGCCCAAGGAUACCAGGCCCCUCCCUCUCAACCAGAGGAGACUCCAGAAAACAGCUGCCUCUUAGGAGACGGAGCCUCCCUGUCUGCAGCCUGUCAGGAACCUGGCAUUUCUGAGGUUAUUUCUGUGGUAACCUACAUGAUUCAUCUUACCAACUAAAAUCACGGCUUGUGAGGAAACACAAACUGAAAAUUACAGGGAGAAGAGAGACUUAAAAAUGUACUUGAAAAUAAUAAAAACUCAAGUGAAGUCACUUAAUCCAGUAUUUUAUUAGAAAUUGGACCAACUCCAAUUCUCUUAAGGGUACCACAGUUUGCUAACCAGAUGUUAAUACUGUUCUGCCAAAGAAAAUGGCAAGAUUUAUAGGCUAUUUUCCAUAAAACUUGUCUUGUUUAUAUUUCCAAACAUAUAUUUCUCUGAUGUCCUGAGAGAUUAGAUUAAAAACUAAUCAAAGUAUUCCUCAACUUACUCUCAGACACAUUAGCAAUGUCCUUAUAGGAGGCACAGGAGAGAAAGUGCCUGUUCUUGGAGAUUUGGCUAAAGAACAAAAGAGAUGGCAGUGGACAGACAGCAUCCAGACUUACAGCUAAAAGGCAGACACUGUAGACACAGCCCAGGCCCAAUGGCAGGACUUAAUUACUCCAUUAUAACGAACAGCAUGAACCUCGAUAGUGGAUCGGCAAGGGAGUCUGGAGGAUGCAGGACAGCUGGCACGACCCUAGCCAUCACCGAGGGCCAUGGAACCACCAUCCAGAUAACCAAGGUUCAAAGUCAGCUCCAUGCACUUUCACUGAGGUUGCAAACAGCAACACAGGAACAUGCAGCAGUGUAAAAAUGACAGCUGAUGAGUGUCUCAUUGCUCCCUAACAGACUUGGCGAGAGUCAUCAUCCUUCCUCAGCCUUAGAGCUGCUUCUCACAAAUGUGCCACAGUCAUCUUCGGAACAGAAACAGCAGAGUAGAUCUGAUUGCAGUACAGACGUCUCUGGAGGCCAGAGGUGUGAGGUCCCCUGGAGCUUCAGUUCACACAUGGGCGCUGGGAUCCGCAUGAGGGUCCUCUGAAAAGAGAGCACACGCUCUGAUACGUGGGCCACCUCUUCAGUCUCUGUCCCCCGAUCCCACCAACCACCUUCAGGAAAGCAGGUCUGAGCAUGGCUGCAGACGGUGCUGUGACACCAGCUUCGUUCUGUCUUACUGAUUGAGUGGACUCAGCUCUGCUGGGUCUCGAGCGAGGAGUGUGCACUCCUGCAUGCUUUCACGGGCUCGGCCACUGGCUUCCUCUGGUUGGUCUUCAUGCGUCGUUUGAUGAUGGAGGAUGGAUGCUCUGGUGACCAGACAUCACGCUUCUUCUUUGAUGAGAACAGUAUCAAGGAGGAUGAGCAAAUCCUUUACCUAUUGCCUCUGUCCACAUCGCCCUCCCAGCUCCACCUGUCCUUUCAGAUAACUGCCCACAACCUAAUCUGAAGUGCAUUACACCGUUGAAUUCUGUAUACAUGCUUAUUAAACCACUGAGAUGCUUAAUACUCAUCAAAAAAAAUAAGCCAUUAAUUCCAGCUACCUUCCCCACAAAACUUCUGUCUACACUCUCUCCCUUUCUCCAACCCACUGGAGACUUGGGCCAAGUAUCUGAGUCCCACUCUUUCUGUUAAGACCCUGUCUAACCCUUCUAAAACUUCACUUAGCUCUGCUUUUCCCAUUCCCGUCACAAGCCUUUGCUGUCCACUGUCUCUCUCGGCCUCCCCAAAGCCCUCCUGUAUCCCAUGGAGCUGAGAAGAUGCAGAAGGCUUGCUCCCGUGUAAGUGGAGACAGUAGCAGGUAGGUGCUUCUGGCUUUGUUCUCAGACAUGACCUCAUGUUGCCUGGGAUGUCCAGGAACUGACCGUGUGUCCAGGGAUGAUGCUUCUCACCCUCAUCCUCUACCUAACAAGUGUGGGGAUUACAGGAAAGCCCCAUCUCUCCUGCUGGCUUGUCUUCUGGCCUUGAUAAUCUGGUUUUUUCUUUAGUUUCGUUUGGAUCUGUUGAGACAGGACUUCACUAUGUAGCCCAGGUUGGCCUUAGACAGGUCAUCCUUCUGCCUCAGCCUCAAAAGGUAGAUCACUAUGACCAACUCAAGUAGAUGCAAUUUUUAAGAGUUUGAGGUUCAGAGCAAGAUUGAAUAAAAGGUACAGACAGAUUUCACAUGCUAACCACACAAUACUUUUGGGAUUAGUGUGGAGAACAAAUACACACCAGCCGUAUGUCUAUCUGAGUAGCUAUAUAGUCACCCGUGGUGAGGUUUUUGCAACUUUAGAAACUCUGAUUGGGUCACCCCUUCUUCACAACUCUAACUGGCAUAGAAUUUAUGGAGAGCAAAUCAAGUCCUUUAGUCCUAUUUUUUUUUUAUUUUUACUUGUAUUAAUUGGUGUUUGUGUGUGCAGAUGUACAUACACGCGGGUGUGUGUAAGUCCACAUGCAUGUGGAGGUUAGAGGGCAACUUUGGGGAGCCCGUUCUCUUCUUCCACUGUGUGAAUCCUUGACCAUCAAACUUGGGAUGCCACCUUGGCGGUGAGCACCUUUACCAAAGGACCUGUCUCACUGGACCUUUAGUUUGGUUUCAAAGAGUUCUACGGUUUGUAUCCACCUGUCUCACUGCUGUUUGUAUCCACCCGUUCUUUGGCUGUAUCUUUCACUAAUCAGCCCCAUCUCCUUGCUUCUAUGCAAUCUGAAUUCUACACACAGUUCUACUCCCUGUUUCUGAUCACAUUCUACAUUUCACUAUUUCUGUUCUGUGCUCCAGCUCUGCCAAAAAUACUUCCCUUCCAGCACGUCUGCCAAGCUCUCCCAGUCUUUCAAAGCCCAGCUGGGACCCCAUUUUCUACAGGAAGACUCACCCAACUACGGCGGUUGGCCGGCAUCUGCCUCUGUUUCUGCUAUACUUUCAAAUGUUAACUUUGUGUCUCUUUUCCAGUCCUUGCCUCGUGGGCAGGGACCACAGAGUGCGUGCUGAACAAUACCUGGCUUAUGAAGCAGGCCGAUGAGGAGCGGAGUGUGACUCAUAGUCUAGGGGAAGCACACACGAGCCACUUCCUAACUUUUCACCAUUUAUUUCCGGUUGCGUCCACUAAACAUUCGAGUCUUUAACAUUCUACUAAAAUACACACUUCCACUGAACACUUAGCUGAGACAGACAGAACAUAAAAGUUACUAGUUUGUGUUGGAUUUUCCUUUUCAUUCCCUAGGGAAAAAGUGGGAAGCAGAACACUGCAGGAAGAGUAAAGCAGCUACAGCAGGAGGCUACAUGGAGAAGGCUCUUACAUUACUUAAGGGAAAUCUGAAGUGAUCAUCUGCACACAAGGUUAAGAAUGAUUCGCACCUCAAGCCAGUCUUCCUCCUGUUGUGGCUGCUUAGCUCGGCUUACAGCAGAUCCACACUGACUGUGCACGGUGAUCUUAUCUGCAUCAAUGUCAGGCUGACUUUCAAAGCCCCAGUAAGCGAUGUGACCUCUCGGGUGAUGUUAAACUAUGGAACAAAACCAAUUGAAAGGCAAGACAAAUAAGGACCCUUCUGUACCCACUCUCAUAUCCACAGGGGCUGCUGCCCAGCCCCCCAGAGCCAAGGGUCUCCUGCUUUGUUCUGUGGAAAGCAGUAGUGUGCAGAGCACACAGCAUUUGACAUUGCCUGAAUCUCGGCACAUACACUAUUACGCUGUCCCCACCUGCUCAAUGUUUUGUCUUCUCCUCAGAAAGUCAAAAAACCUACGGGAACUAGUGCUCCAAUUCCCACUUGGACCUGAAUGAUCUACUUACUGUAGGCGAGAUGAACAGCCAAUACUCUUUCAACUAAAACUCCACACUUUACCCUUAGUCCAAGCCUCCAAGCAGGAGCUUGAGUUUCAGCUUUAAAAUUUGGACUUGGAAUGAAUUAAGCUGUGUGUUCGGCCUGGCCCCAAUGACACACAUUUGCCCAGCAAUGGGCACGUGUCUCUGUGUGUGUGUGCAUGAACUCAAUAAAGGACCAUCAAGACACACUACUUUCUUUAAA